AUUUUUGGAUCAAAAUGAUAUAAAUAAUGGUUCAUAAUGGGGAAAAGUGGUUUUUUCUGUGGUGUGUAGUAUGCACAGUUUUUCAUCUUUGACUUGAGACUUAAAUUGAUUAAAUUUUCAAAGGAAACUAUUGAACCGUUUUCGAGAAAUUGCCUGUUAUGUGUCCAACCACAUUUUGGGUUUUAUCCAAUUUGGCCACCCCGCAUGAAUUUUCUUAGUCGCUAUUGGCCAAGUGGGCCGUGCUUGCAAAGGCCAUAUCUUAAAAAUAAGAAUUUUCCUGGAUAUAAGCUAUGUGGAAUUUUAUAACUUAUGUAAAAUCGGUGGAAGUAAAUAGAAGUAAAAUCGGUGGAACUUUCAAAGAAAACUAUUGAACCGUUUUCGAGAAAAUGUCCGUUAUGUGUCCUACCAGAUGAGCAAUUUGAUAAGCGCUUGGGUCGCUUUCGAGUACUAGAACUGUUGCACUACUGUUGCAUUGGAUUCAAUAUAUAAAUAUGCUUGUGGUGUGGAGCGAUCGAAGUGACCAUCAAAAUUGAUGGUUAUUGUAAUCAAUUUUGAUAUGCAUGGGUAUUUCAGAGCUUUAUUUCUUUAAAGUGUUAAUUUUUUAAAUCGAUUUUUUUCAUUUACUUUACAUAAUUGAAUUUAAAAUUGAUUACAAUUAUCGCGUUACGGUCGCUGUUUUGCAGUUUGGAGUUGAAGUUAAUAUUGUUUUAUUUUCAACAGACAUGGAAUGCAUACCUGCAGUUUUUCCGUGUACUUUUUAAUUUGAUCGCUUUAUUUAGCGUGAAAGAGCCUGAAAUGCUUCCGCCAAUUUUUCAUUUCGAAGAAAUCUUGGGAACAACCUCUCACAGAGCACACAUUUUUUUUCUUUUCAUUAUCAUGGCUUUUUGAUUGUUGUACCAUUCGUUUGUGAUUGGAUGACACACACCGUACUUUAAUGUUAUGGUUUUUGAUUCUUUUGAAUCAUUUUUCUCCUUUCUUUCACGCUUAAUUUUUUUCGUAUUCAUUUUCGUGAAUUUAACACACUUCAACAAACGCUGUAAUGGUUUAAUGGUUACCUAUAUGAUUCGAUUAAAAAUGGUAAUUACGGUGUGUCCUGUCAACAAAUUGAAUGACAGAUACAACAACACCAUAUCCAUACACAUUGGAAGCGUCUUCUCUAUUAUGGAAGCGUCCAGUACUGCAGUACUAGAUUGAGUUCUUGUAUCUGUCAUUCAAUUUGUUGACAGGCUUAUCAAAUUUGAUUACAAUAGUUAUCAAUUUUGGUGGUUGCUUCGAUCGCUCCACACCACAAGCAUAUUUAUAUAUUGCAUCCAAUGCAACUAUAGUGCAACAGUUAUAGUGCUCUGAAGCGACCCAAGCGCUUAUCAAAAUUGAUUGCAUGCAUAUCAAUAAUAAUCAUUGUAACUUACGUAAAUUUCAUUUCGUUGAAAUUUGAUUUUUAACUCAUUCACGAAAUAUUAUUGUAAGCAUUCAUUUUUUAUGUUUUCUAUACAGUAAGUCAAAAUUGUGAAUUAGAAUUUUCUUGGAUUGAAUUUAAACUGUUCUGUUUCUUAUUCACUGUGCUUUAAGUUCUUGUAAUCAGUUCGGGGAUGCUCAAGCGUCCGGAACAUUCAGAAUCAUAGUUUCAACAUAGAAAAAUGCCACCAAUAAAUCGUUUCUCAUCGCCUGGAAUCCCAGGGCCUGGACAAAAACAAAAAUCACUCUAAAUCUGAGGAAAAAAAAAUUAAAAAAUUGUCUUGAAAUCCUGCGAAUUGCGGAAAAAAUGUCAGCCCCGAAUAGCGGAAAUUUUCUAGAACAGCAACCGAGAUAUUCGAUGAUGAUGAGCUACUGCCAGUUAGUGAAACAAUCAUAGUACCUAGUCAAACUGCAACUUCAUCGACGGUCAAUGUUCCAUUGACACCAUUCCCAGCAUCUAUCAAACCAUCGGCUCUUGUUCAAGAAGGCGGUUACUCAGCACCAGCUCCAGCUUCCGUUGAAAUUGUUAAAGUAAUCGAAGAACAAGGUGGUCACAAAUUUCAAGGUGAAAAGAAAUUGUUCAAAAUUCGUUGAAAGAAAUAUGAUGAAGUAGAUGAUACUUGGGAAUUGGAGGAGAAUUUGUCAUGCCCAGAAAUUUAUAAUCGUUAUUUGGCUGAUCAUCCAGAUGCAGCUGCAGCUGUUAAUGAAACAAAGCGAGUAUCAAAAAGACGUACGGAUGGAGAACGUAAACAGUACAUCGACAACGGUGGUAAUGGAAGCGGUCGCAACAAGGCUGUAGUUCAUAGAAAACGUACGCAUGACAAUGAUGGUCCACAGGAUCCCAACACCAAAAAGCGUAAAAUGGAUGUGGCACCUGGUUCCAAUCUUUUGAAUAUUUGUCUUAGAUGCGGCCAAUCUGAUUUACAUGAUGAAGCAAAGUCUUCAUUUGAAAAGAAUACAUGCAUUGAAGGUCGAAAUCCACAAUCGUUGGUAUUGGAAUUCUGGCUGAAAAAUUGGCAGCAUGAUUGGAGAACAGUGACGCUUCGAAAAAAGACGCUCCAAAGGAUGGGCAAAUUUAACUAUU